AACACAUGCAAGUCGAACGGAAAGGCCCUGCUUUUGUGGGGUGCUCGAGUGGCGAACGGGUGAGUAACACGUGAGUAACCUGCCCUUGACUUUGGGAUAACUUCAGGAAACUGGGGCUAAUACCGGAUAGGAGCUCCUGCUGCAUGGUGGGGGUUGGAAAGUUUCGGCGGUUGGGGAUGGACUCGCGGCUUAUCAGCUUGUUGGUGGGGUAGUGGCUUACCAAGGCUUUGACGGGUAGCCGGCCUGAGAGGGUGACCGGCCACAUUGGGACUGAGAUACGGCCCAGACUCCUACGGGAGGCAGCAGUGGGGAAUAUUGCACAAUGGGCGGAAGCCUGAUGCAGCAACGCCGCGUGCGGGAUGACGGCCUUCGGGUUGUAAACCGCUUUCGCCUGUGACGAAGCGUGAGUGACGGUAAUGGGUAAAGAAGCACCGGCUAACUACGUGCCAGCAGCCGCGGUGAUACGUAGGGUGCGAGCGUUGUCCGGAUUUAUUGGGCGUAAAGGGCUCGUAGGUGGUUGAUCGCGUCGGAAGUGUAAUCUUGGGGCUUAACCCUGAGCGUGCUUUCGAUACGGGUUGACUUGAGGAAGGUAGGGGAGAAUGGAAUUCCUGGUGGAGCGGUGGAAUGCGCAGAUAUCAGGAGGAACACCAGUGGCGAAGGCGGUUCUCUGGGCCUUUCCUGACGCUGAGGAGCGAAAGCGUGGGGAGCGAACAGGCUUAGAUACCCUGGUAGUCCACGCUGUAAACGGUGGGUACUAGGUGUGGGGUCCAUUCCACGGGUUCCGUGCCGUAGCUAACGCUUUAAGUACCCCGCCUGGGGAGUACGGCCGCAAGGCUAAAACUCAAAGGAAUUGACGGGGCCCCGCACAAGCGGCGGAGCACGCGGAUUAAUUCGAUGCAACGCGUAGAACCUUACCUGGGUUUGACAUGGAUCGGGAGUGCUCAGAGAUGGGUGUGCCUCUUUUGGGGUCGGUUCACAGGUGGUGCAUGGCUGUCGUCAGCUCGUGUCGUGAGAUGUUGGGUUAAGUCCCGCAACGAGCGCAACCCUUGUUCACUGUUGCCAGCACGUUAUGGUGGGGACUCAGUGGAGACCGCCGGGGUCAACUCGGAGGAAGGUGGGGAUGACGUCAAGUCAUCAUGCCCCUUAUGUCCAGGGCUUCACGCAUGCUACAAUGGCUGGUACAGAGAGUGGCGAGCCUGUGAGGGUGAGCGAAUCUCGGAAAGCCGGUCUCAGUUCGGAUUGGGGUCUGCAACUCGACCUCAUGAAGUCGGAGUCGCUAGUAAUCGCAGAUCAGCAACGCUGCGGUGAAUACGUUCCCGGGGCUUGUACACACCGCCCGUCAAGUCAUGAAAGUUGGUAACACCCGAAGCCGGUGGCCUAACCGUUGUGGGGGAGCCGUCGAAGGUGGGACUGGUGAUUAGGACUAAGA
rnacentral:rRNA from 1 species